rnacentral:lncRNA from 1 species
AUGGAGGGUGUGGUGGGUCCAAGUGGAGCUGUUGGCCAUGUGCCUACUUGCUGCGUACCUGCAGAUCCCACUCCCUCAGGUCUCCCUGGCCCUUCACUCUUGGAAGUCUUCAGGCAAAUUUUUCACUUACGAGGGACUGCAUAUAUUCUACCAAGACUCUGUGGGUGUGGUUGGAAGUCUGGAGAUAGCUGUGCUUUUACACAGCCUUCCAACAUCCAGCUAUGAUUGGUACAAGAUUUGGGAAGGUCUGACCUUGAGGUUUCAUCAAGUUCUUGUGCUUGAUUUCUUAGGCUUUGGCUUCAGUGACAAUCCACAACCACAUCACUAUUCCAUAUUUGAGCAGGCCAGCAUUAUGGAAGUGCUUUUGUGGCAUCUGGGGCUCCAGAACCACAGGACCAACCUUUUGUCUCAUGACUAUGGAGAUAUUGUUGCUCAGGAGCUCCUCUACCAGUACAAGCAGAAUCAAUCUGGUAGGCUUACCAUAAAGAGUAUCCAUCUGUCAAAUGGAGGUAUCUUUCCUGAGACUCACCGUCCACUCCUUCUCCAAAAGAUACUCAAAGAUGGAGGUGUGCUGUCACCCAUCCUCACGUGGCUGAUGAACUUCUUUGUAUUCUCGAUGUCUCACCCCAGUCUUUGGGCCAUGUACUUGGCCCUCUGAGAGUGAGCUGUGGGAUGGUACAUGUGGGCAGUCCCAUCCCACAGCUGCAACAAUGAUGGGAACUUAGUCAUUGUCAAUCUCUUACAGUACAUCAUCAAUCAGAGAAGUUUAGAAGACACCGAGUGGGAGCUCUUGCCUCUGAAACUAACCCCAUUGAUUUUAUCUAUGAGCCACUGGAUCCUGUAAAUCCCUAUCCAGAGUUUUUCGAGCUGUACAGGAAAAUGCUGUCACGGUCCAUGAUGUCAAUUCUGGAUGACCACAUUAGCCACGAUCCACAGCUAGAGGAUCCCAUGGGCUUCCUGAAUGCAUACCUGGGCUUCAUCAAGUCCUUUUGAGUUGGAAAGAGUAGAUUCACUGUAUUACCUCCCCUACCCCCUUAUCCAUUGCGUAUUCCACUUAAGAAGAAAUGCCCAAAAGAGGUCCUGGCCAUCAAACACUGUUCUCUCACAAAGUCCACUUUACUCAAAUUGGUGAACAGUAUAUAGGAAGAAGCCAGCAGGAGCUCUGGCUAAGGUUGACAUAAUAGUCCACCUCCCAUUACUUUGA